rnacentral:lncRNA from 1 species
GCCGGCGCCUCACCUUGGUUCACCAGGCGCAGGGCGUGCGUGAAGGAGGGGUCCAGGGAGUCCUUCUCCGCCAUCAGCUCGGGCAGGUAGCAAUCUGGAACACUCCUGACUGGCUCUUCAUCCCUCCCUGAUCUGAGUUGGCAGUCAGUCCACCAGCAGCUGUGGAGGAGGGCUAUGCACUGGGAAACUGACAGCAAGGGCACUGAAUCUUCUGCUCCAGACCCUCCUUCUCCGAGAACCUUCCAAGAAGGCAGGUGCCAAACGCUGUGAGUGCUCAUGCAGGGUCCUCCGGGGAGGAGGGAGAUGAAUGUCUCUGUGAGAUGCUCAGGAAAUUGUCCCCACCCACCAACCUGGCUGAGCCGUUGGCUGUGGGGCACCUCCAUGCUGUGCUGCACACUCCGCUCAUCUUCAUGAGAUCACCUUCCUGCAGGCGCUAACCCUCUGAUUCUUUUGAAAAGGAGAAAUCAGGUCUUGGGAAAGCCGGUGAUUUUCCUACAAGCAGCUGCAGGUAGUAUUCACACUCAGGUCUUUUGGCUUCCAGGCCAAAAGAGGUCUCUCUAGAAUACACCAGUACUCACUGAGCACAUACUAUGUGCAGAGACUGCUCUGGGUACAGGGGACAUAGCCAUGGACAGAACAGACUUCUCCAAAGGCCCUUAAGGCCAGGGCACUGGGGCUGCUUACUCCAUCUGCAGAGUUUGUGGUUAGACUGACCAGGCGCUCAGGUCUGGACGGGAAGCCCCGCACUGCAAUAAGGAACUGUGGCUGCUCUUUCUUCUCACAUCCAGGUCUGGGACUAGCUUCUCAGCCCCAGAGACAAAAGGGUACUUCCCAAACCCACCCCACUCAGUGACACUGGGCCAUCUCUGAGAACACAGCAAGUCCCUGUGGCCCCAGCCCACUGCCAUAGCGCUGUCUGCCAGAAUCCACACCUGCCUCCUCUUCACCCACCUACUGACUCCUGGAGAGAGAAAGACAAGUCCUUGGCCUUUAUGACACUAACUGCAAUAAGUCAGACACAGCUGCAGCAAACUCAGUGUCAUCAGAGGAGACACAAAAUGUAGGGAGUGUGUCUAUGAGGAAGUUUUCAUAUUUGCUGCUCACACUACAAGCUUCUCACUGCUGUUCACACCACAAGCUUCCUCUUCAUUUUGUUUAAGAAAGGUGGAUCCUAUCCCAGUUACUCCAAAACUCUGCAGUGCCAUACUGUGAAAUCCUAAUCCGACUGUACCAAAGGCCAGAGAGACCUCGGCUUGGCCCCAGCUGCCUUGCUUACUAUCCUCCUCACAGGAUCAUUUUGAGGUUGAAAUUGAAGCAUUAAGCUCACAUAGGCACCAUGUGCAUUUUAAAGCUUUUCCACUCUCUGUCCUCUCCACCAGCAUUGUUUGUGCUCCUGUUCACACUUAACACAUCUGGUCCUCGUCAUCUGUGGACCCCUUUGCCUUCACACUGUCCUCAGAGCCUGCUCAGCUGCCCAGCCCCAGUGCCUGGUCCAGAGGUCAGUUCACAGCAAGCACUCAGCAUUCAUUCUGGAUCCGUGUCUCCCAAAAUGCAGUCCCGGAACAGCAAUGCUACCCAGCCAUCUGAGGCCAAUUCAUUUGUCAUGUAAGGCAGGCACCAAAAGAUGGCACAUCCUUACCUAGAAAUCAGUCAUUUAUGUGUCAGGGAGGAAGACAAGAGUGUUCACUCUGAUCCCUGACUCCAGUCAGUUACAGCAGGAAAUACUUUUUCAAAACUUGUAACUGUGGCUGAAAAGCCUUGACACAAGUGGGGGAGGACACAAAGCAACUCUUCAAAGUUGGGAGGCUUCACACAGUUCAAAGCCCAGUGUAGAUCUGGAGUGCCUUCACCAAGGACUAUUUGGUCUAUGAGUGGCUCUCUUGUAUUUUACUCAAACAAGCUCCAAAAAACUUCCUCAUUCAGGUAGUCACAAGCCACCACUUUUUAGAGAUGAGGAAACUGUUGCUCAGAAGGUUUAAGUGACUCAGAGAUAGUAAGUGGAGAAUUGGACACAUGCUUGCAUGCACAUACACAUGCACACGCACGCGCAUGUGCGCACACACACACAAACACACACUCCACCCAAUGUGAGGAUGGAUACAAUCAGACCUUCAAUCCCAGUCACUCACAUACCUGAAGACACCUGUCUUUCUGUCUCUGUAUCCAUCUGCCCUGCAAAUCUAUACCCUCCUGUCAGUAUUUGGUGGAUGGAAACCUCAGUUUCUCUCGUCAGCUCUCUUCUUUGACAAGAGAAUCGAGCCAUCCUGGCUCUGUCUUUCUGCAGCUUAAAAAAAUAAAAUAAAUAAAUAACCACACACACAGAUAUUGUGCACACACCCCCUAGUGGCCACAUGUGGAGGCACAUGCCCCACAAAGUUUGCGUUGGGGUUGAUAACCACUUGAGUUUGAGAAGGAAACCCCAGAUAGGAUUGCAACUCCAUCCUAGGAAGGAGGAUGGUGAAAGAUGAUCUUAUGUGGAAGACAGUGAAAAUGGAAAAAGACAAAGAAAAGGGGAGGAGAAAGAAAAAUGUGAUGGAGAAAAAGAAGGCAGGAGAACCAAAGGAAGAUUAAAGAAAGGUAUAUAGAAUAGGAGGAGUGAGAGAAAAAAAUAAGGCAAGCUUAAAGGAGGGACGUUUCUCAAUGUGAAGUCUUUCUCUAUUUCAAAUAUAAGCACAAAAAGUAAUGAUGGAAAAUAAUGCGAAUUGGUGUGUCCAGGGUCAGCUGGCCAUCCUGUACACAGGCAGGUGGGGACAGACGAGCCAAGGAUGAGAGGUGACAGGGCCCGUAUCUGACCCCGUCACUGCCUGACUUGGUAAUAUUUUCAGAAUCCAAAGCUUUCUCUGUCCCUAUUUCUGAGCUUGUAAAGGGUAGCUAAUAGCAGUUGUUUGUUGAGUUCUGAUGAGAACAAUAAAGAUUUGCAGAGAAAACCCUGAAAAGUGCUCUAAGCUCUUGGACAUAACCAUCACAGAAAUGUGUUUUGUUAUUUUGCUCAAUGCAGCAAAAACCCUCCAUCCUUUGCUUCCUGGUGUAAAAGGUUAUAUGUGAUGCUGGAGUGCCAAAGUACUUGGUGUAUUUCAACAGUGCAUCAAGUUAUCACCACCUCUGGUGCUUUGGAAGAUGCUGUGAUUUGGAAAGCACUGUCGAAAUGUAAAACAUUAUUGCCACAGUAGUAAAAAUAUCCGUGUCCAUCUCCUAGUCCACUAUUUCUUGUCAGGAUGCAUAGAGAUACACAUGAAACAAUUCUGUACACAUUAGUAGAAUGUUUUACAGCAAAACUGCACAUAUCUGAGUUUGGCAAAAUAAUCAGAAACAAAAUAUUUCUGUCAGUGUCAAGUUACCCUUAGUGUCCGAACAGCUACCAAGGGGGUGAUAAAGUGUUUAGUGCCCACUGCAAAUGUGAACACAUCCGGGUUUCAUAGAAAAAUGCCAGCUUGGGCUUGUGUUUUUCUUUAGUUAAGAAAGGAAGAAACAAACUUAACAAAAAUGGCUGUGGAAAAAGAAUGGACAUAAAGCUGAGAUUGUGGACUUAAGUUAGAUCACUGAAUUACAAGAGAAACAUUUUUUCUCAAAAUCAAAGUCGACUUUUGUUGGUGACUCAACUGCAAACUCACUGAACGUCUCUGUGAAUUUCAUUCUUUGGCGUUUCUCUAGCGUAGCACUAGCCUUCCCACUAAUAUCAGCCCUCAUCACCACCAUGUCUGGAUUUAUACCAAGAGGAGACACAAUGCCUCAAAAUCCAUUGCUUGUUGUUAAUGGAGAGAUUGCGGUUACUGGUUAUACCUGGGCAACCUCGAUCAACUUUAUCACACCUCUAAUGACAGCUGGCAUGUGCAACGCUCCAGCUUCCUCUGGCAAAUCUUAUCCUGAGAGCAAAUUCUCUCUCAGUCUUCGUAGCCAUACCUGUUGGUCUGCAAGCAUUAGCAACUUAGAUAUACAGACUAUCAUGAUCUGUGCACAGUUCAAGAGUAAGUUACCCUUGAGCAUAUGGCGGUUGAGGCCACAAGUUAAGGAGUCUGAUACCACUGUGCGCCUGCCCCUAAUAAUCUGGGAGCUUUGGGGCAAGGCAGCCUCUUUGUGCCUCUCUUUCUGCACUUGCAAAAUGAAGGCAGUAUUACCCCCUCCCCUGCAAACAGUUACUUUAGGACCUCCAUGAGUGGCAUGUAUUUAAAGUGUUUAUCACAGAACCUGACACGCCAGGGGCAUAGAAUGGGUGCAGCAUCAGUAGAGCAGCACUGUCCAAAAUUAAUGUGAGCCACAUGUUUAAUUUUAAAUUUUCUAGAAGCCAGUUGACAAUGUGAAAAGAAACAGAUGAAGUUAGUUUCAAUAGGAUUAUUUAAUCCAAUGUAUCCAGAAUACUGUUUCAAUAUAUAAUCAAUAAUUUUAAAAUA